rnacentral:rRNA from 1 species
GACGAACGCUGGCGGCGUGCUUAACACAUGCAAGUCGAACGGAAAGGCCCUGCUUUUGUGGGGUGCUCGAGUGGCGAACGGGUGAGUAACACGUGAGUAACCUGCCCUUGACUUUGGGAUAACUUCAGGAAACUGGGGCUAAUACCGGAUAGGAGCUCCUGCUGCAUGGUGGGGGUUGGAAAGUUUCGGCGGUUGGGGAUGGACUCGCGGCUUAUCAGCUUGUUGGUGGGGUAGUGGCUUACCAAGGCUUUGACGGGUAGCCUGCCUGGGAGGGUGACCGGCCACAUUGGGACUGAGAUACGGACCAGAAUCCUACGGGAGGCAGCAGUGGGGAAUAUUGCACAAUGGGCGGAAGCCUGAUGCAGCAACGCCGCGUGCGGGAUGACGGCCUUCGGGUUGUAAACCGCUUUCGCCUGUGACGAAGCGUGAGUGACGGUAAUGGGUAAAGAAGCACCGGCUAACUACGUG